GCCUGAGAAACGGCUACCACAUCCAAGGAAGGCAGCAGGCACGCAAAUUACCCAAUCCCAGCUCUGGGAGGUAGUGACGAAAAAUAACAAUGCGGGACUCUUCCGAGUCUGCGUAAUUGGAAUGAGUACACUUUAAAUCCUUUAACCACAACCAAUUGGAGGGCAAGUCUGGUGCCAGCAGCCGCGGUAAUUCCAGCUCCAAUAGCGUAUAUUAAAGUUGUUGCGGUUAAAAAGCUCGUAGUUCGAGUUCAGUUCCGGACUGGCCGGGGAGGUCACCGCCCGGUGCUUCCCCGUCAGGCUCCGAACAGCUUUUACGAACUAAAAGCCAAGCCGGUUUGGCCGGGGUGCUCUUGACCGAGUGUCCCGCGCGGCCGGCCAGUUUACCUUGAAUAAAUGAGAGUGCUCAAAGCAGGCUACUCUUAAAAAUAAAGCCCGAAUGUUACCUGCAUGGAAUGAUGGAAGAUGAACGUCGGUUCCAUUUUAUUGGCGUUGGGAAUCCGAGUUAAUGAUAAACAGGGACGGUCGGGGGCAUCCGUACUACGACGCGAGAGGUGAAAUUCAGUGACCGUCGUAGGACGAACAACAGCGAAAGCAUUUGCCAAGAAUGUCUUCGUUGAUCAAGAACGAAAGUUAGAGGAUCGAAGGCGAUCAGAUACCGCCCUAGUUCUAACCCUAAACGAUGCUGACUAGCAAUCCGCCGUCGUUAUUCCCAUGACGUGGCGGGACGCCCCCGGGAAACCCUAAGUGUUUGAGUUCCGGGGGUAGUAUGGUUGCAAAAGUGAAACUUAAAGGAAUUGACGGAAGGGCACCACCAGGAGUGGAGCCUGCGGCUUAAUUUGACUCAACACGGGAAACCUCACCAGGCCCGGACACCAGAAGGAUUGACAGAUUAAGAGCUCUUUCUCGAUUUGGUGGGUGGUGGUGCAUGGCCGUUCUUAGUUGGUGGAGUGAUUUGUCUGGUUAAUUCCGGUAACGAACGAGACUSUGGCCUACUAAAUAGUSGACGGGCGUUUUUGUGCAAUGGGCCCCGUUAGACAAAGUCUUCUUAGAGGGAUGAGCAGCGAGUAUAGCUGCAGGAGAUUGAGCAAUAACAGGUGUGAGAUGCCCUUAGAUGUCGUGGGCCGCACGCGCGAUACAUUGAAUGGGUCAGCGGGUUGUCCUUCUCCGAGAGGAGCGGGAAAUCGCGUGAAAACCAUUCCUGAUAGGGAUUGGGGAUUGCAAUUGUUUUCCAUGAACGAGGAAUUCCCAGUAAGAGCAAGUCAUCAGCUUGCGUUGAUUAAGUGCCUGCCCUUUGUACACACCGCCUGUUGAUAUUACCGAUUGAAUGAUCUAGUGAGGCCUUCGGACUGGCGGUCUUGGAUUGGGUUUCCAGCGGGCCAUAUAAAUC
rnacentral:rRNA from 1 species